AUUGAACGCUGGCGGCCGGCCUAACACAUGCAAGUCGGGCGAGCCGCGGACGGGUGAGUAAUGUAUGGGGAUCUGCCUGAUGGCGGGGGAUAACUACUGGAAACGGUAGCUAAUCCCGCAUACCAUCAGAUGAACCCAUAUGGGAUUAGCUAGUCGGGGAGGUAACGGCUGACCUAGGCGACUCUCCCUAGCUGGUCUGCGAGGAUGAUCAGCCACACGGGGACUGAGACACGGCCCAGACUGCUACGGUAGGCAGCAGGGGGGAAAAUUGCACAAUGGGCGCAAGCCUGAUGCAGCCAUGCCGCGUGUAUGAAGAAGGCCUUCGGGUUGUAAAGUACUUACAGUCGGGAGGCGGUACCCACAGAAGAAGCACCGGCUAACUCCGUGCCAGCAGCCGCGGUAAUGC
rnacentral:rRNA from 1 species